rnacentral:rRNA from 1 species
CGUCGCCACGGUAAUACGUAGGGUGCGAGCGUUAAUCGGAAUUACUGGGCGUAAAGCGUGCGCAGGCGGUUCGUUAAGACAGAUGUGAAAUCCCCGGGCUUAACCUGGGAACUGCAUUUGUGACUGGCGAGCUAGAGUAUGGCAGAGGGGGGUAGAAUUCCACGUGUAGCAGUGAAAUGCGUAGAGAUGUGGAGGAAUACCGAUGGCGAAGGCAGCCCCCUGGGACAACACUGACGCUGAGGCACGAAAGCGUGGGGAGCAAACAGGAUUAGAUACCCCCGUAGUCCCUGUCUCUUAUACC